rnacentral:lncRNA from 1 species
AUAUAUAGUAUUAAUUUUUAUUUCAUAAUUAUACUUUUCUUUCUCUAAAGCAAUUAUACCUUAAAAAAUAAAAUAUUUCAAUAUUAAAUUGAACCUAAAUAGAGUUUGGGUGUGUGAAGCAUUCUCUCUCUCUCUUUUUUUUUUAGGGAAAAGGUGUGAAGCAUUCGUAUAAAUAAGAGAAGAAGACAAAUCAAUUGUUCUUAAUAAUGUUUGUGAUAGUGAUGUAUACAAAAAAAAAUUAUUCUGCAACAAAUUACUGUUAAUCUAUUAUAUAUCUUAGUGUUAUGAAAAAUUAUUUUCUUUUAAAUCGCUUAAUUUUAUCCUUGGAAUAAAAUUAAUAUAUCAUAUAAGUAUAGAUUCCGAAAUGCUUGUCUACAUGCAAAUUUUCAUUUUUUGGUGUAACAAAUGACUUCUGUACAUAAAAGUAAAUGUUCUCUGUUUUAUAGUUUACGCUACCAAAACCCCAAAAAAAGGGCAUAUGUCUUAAUGGUUAAUAAUAAUGAUGUUUUUCUAUUCAUUUUCUACGACCUAAGCUAUAAUGUGACAGAAGCAAUCAAGAAGCAUCAACACAAUCCAUUUUGGGCUUAAUAGUAAUGAGAUUACUUAGUGUCAAUAAAAUUUAAAUUUACUGUUACAUUGAUUCCUAGGGAGCCUUAUUUGUUGUUGAUCAAAUUACCUUGCUAAGCCGUAGGCGUGUGGCGCCUCCAUUUAUCACAUAUAUAGCUCCAUCCACCUCUCUUCACGGCAACUUUCUUCAUUGCAGGAACUCUGGUUCCAUCCUGUUAAACACUGGUCUCACCCUGGCACCAUCGGGCCUCCCUCUGGCCAAAUCGGGCUUCAUUGGGUAAUAUUCAGACGUCGUUGGGUAAUUUUCGGGCAUCAAUUGGUGAUCGUCGACCCACAUCAUUUUGUGAAUCAAAUUCUUGCCGCCGUUAAUUAAGCCACCAACAGACAACUUGUUUUCAUUCUUGAUGUUGAUGUUGUUGUUGUUGUCAUCAGAUGGUGAAAUUGGUGGUUCAGAUUCUGAUGCUUCCGCGUGGUUUAAAACCAACAAAGAAAGGAUUGCCAAAAUCAUUAGCCAUGAUGAGUGGGACUUGGAGACGGCCAUGGUUCAAUUCCCUGUAAAUGUUCCUUAAAAUUCGGCAAUGAUUUUUUGAAAAAAAUUCUGAUUUAAGGGCUUUAUAGAUUUUCUUUUGGAUGUUAACGUAAUUAGCCAAUUUGGCUUUAAUUUCGGAAGUUUUGACUUUGAUCUUUUCCAACGGUGAUUAGUGGCCUUGCUCAUCGGUUUGCCUUUUCUUUUUCCCGUCUAUUAUUGGCUGUAUGUACCAUUUUUCUCUCAAAUUCUGAGUGUUUAAUUUCGGAACGCUGUCUAUUGAACUAUAAUUAGGAGAUCGAGUUUCUUACAAGUUACAAUAACAUUUUUUUGUUGGUAAAUUAUUUUACUGCUUUGAAAGAGAAGAGUAUUUUGGAAAUAUUUCAAUAUUUAUAAUCGCAGUAUUCUAGUUUUGAAUCUUUUGAUACGGGUAAUUUGCAAUGGAAAUUGCUGGCUAGCAAACUAAUAGAAAAUGAACAGAUAAAUUGAAGAAACUUUUACGCACGCCUCAAAGCCAUUAAUCUAUUAUGUUUUAUUCUUUAAUUUUAUCAACAAUAGGAAAAUUUGUCAUAUUCAAUGGCUAUUAAAAUUUUAAAAUUAUUAGUCCAGAUGCUGUGAAGUUAAAUAAUUUUUACAGAAUGAAUUUCGCUCGUUGGAAAGACAUGAUUAUAUUUUUUUGUUACCUGUUUGAAAAUAUGUUGGAUUUCUAAGUGAAGAAGACACAAGCCCACAUUACUAAAGAAAGAAAUAAGCACGAUCGAGGAAGAUGGAGUUAAGCGGCACAUAAUUAAGUCUCUUCUCCCUUUAAUGCUUACCUCUAAUCUAAACAUGUUAAGAAUGCGUUUGCGAUUGAAAUUUGGAUGCUGUUACUUUUAAGUUAUAGUAUUAAAGUGUUUGGUAAAUAUUAACGGCUGUACCUUAAAAGUUAUGUUGAUUUGAUUUUUUAUUUGUAUGGUAGAAAAUCUAUUAUAUCUUUAAUAAUUUUGUCAGUCUCUUCUCCCUUUAAUGCUUACCUCUAAUCUAAACAUGUUAAGAAUGCAUUUGCGAUUGAAAUUUGGAUUGAAAUUUGGAUGCUGUAACUUUGAAGUUAUAGUAUUAAAGUGUUUGGUAAAUACUAACAGCUAUACCUUAAAAGUUAUGUUGAUUUGAUUUUUUAUU